CAGAGUGUAACAACUCCCUAUACCACUUGCAAACAUACCUAUUUUAGUGUUGCUUCGGCAGGCAGUCCCAGGGCUGGGACCGCGGCCGGCUCGUCCGGCGCCUGCCGAAGGACCUACACUCGUUGUUUCGUAGCACUCUGAGUCAUUACACAAACCAGUCA
rnacentral:misc_RNA from 1 species